UACGUAGGUGGCAAGCGUUAUCCGGAAUUGUUGGGCGUAAAGAGCGCGCAGGUGGUUGAUUAAGUCUGAUGUGAAAGCCCACGGCUUAACCGUGGAGGGUCAUUGGAAACUGGUCGACUUGAGUGCAGAAGAGGGAAGUGGAAUUCCAUGUGUAGCGGUGAAAUGCGUAGAUAUCGGGAGGAACACCGGUGGCGAAGGCGGCUUUCUGGCCAGUUACUGACGCUCAUGCGCGAAAGCUGGGGUAGCGAACCGGAUUAGAUACCCCCGUACGUCCU
rnacentral:rRNA from 1 species